ACUGAACGCUGGCGGCAUGCCUUACACAUGCAAGUCGAACGGCAGCACGGGAGCAAUCCUGGUGGCGAGUGGCGAACGGGUGAGUAAUAUAUCGGAACGUGCCCAGUCGUGGGGGAUAACGUAGCGAAAGCUACGCUAAUACCGCAUACGAUCUAUGGAUGAAAGCGGGGGAUCGCAAGACCUCGCGCGAUUGGAGCGGCCGAUAUCAGAUUAGGUAGUUGGUGGGGUAAAGGCUCACCAAGCCGACGAUCUGUAGCUGGUCUGAGAGGACGACUCUCCACACUGGGACUGAGACACGGCCCAGACUCCUACGGGAGGCAGCAGUGGGGAGUUUUGGACAAUGGGCGCAAGCCUGAUCCAGCCAUGCCGCGUGUCUGAAGAAGGCCUUCGGGUUGUAAAGGACUUUUGUCCGGGAGCAAAUACCCAGUGCUAAUAACGCUGGGGGCUGAGAGUACCGGAAGAAUAAGCACUGGCUAACUACGUGCCAGCCGCCGCCGUAA
rnacentral:rRNA from 1 species